rnacentral:lncRNA from 10 species
GCCUGGCUGCGAGGCCCUUCCUCUUUUCAUGACUCUGGGAGGCUCUGGACUAAACAAGAGCAGCGUCUACAGUGACUGCCGUGGGCUGCUGCACCUGAGUCCAGGAUCCCACUUGUUUCUACCCCCUGCGCAUCCCAGGCCUUUCUUCACCUCCAGAAGCAGUGGUUUCGGAGCUGCCUAUUUCUGUCUAAAAGUGGCGUCUGCAGUAGCCCAUGUUGUGCUGCUUCUGCCAAUGGCCAGGAUGGGCGUGGGCAGGGACUCCUGAUGGGUGGACGUGACGGGGCCACCUUAGGAAGUCCACCAGCCCCUUCCAAGUGUUCAUUGUUGGACAAGGCUUUUUUUUUUUUUUUUGGAAAGAAACCUGGCUAGAGAGGGGGAGAGUGUGGGGCCCACAGUGGAAAAGCCUUGGCCGGGCAGCCAGGCCUCUCUGCUGGGCCCACGUUUGCUCUCUUGAUGCCUCAGACCCCAGGAAGCCCAGAGACCACAGGUCGGCUCCAAGUUCAUGUUUCUCCCUUUUCCUUAGACAUGACAUCCUCGGAAACAUCUCGUAAUCAGCAGCUUUCGGAAGUAAAUCAUUGUGAGCUGGAAGGACGGGAAACAUAUCUGGGGAGCUGGGGUUGGGGGUGGAGAGCCUCUUGGGGGGCAGAGGUGGGUUGGGCACCACUCCACAACUGGGGAUGAAAUAAAGAGAGACAGAACUCACAUGCAUAUGAGUGGCUUUUCCAUGUCACCUGUCUUCUUGGGAGAGGCCUAGACAAUGCAGCUGUGGAUGUGAUUAAUGAGCCACCGGCCACACCUGGCACAGCGGUGCAGGUGGAAGCCAGGGAACUUCCCUUUCUCCCUGUCAGUUAUCCUGCGCUGUGCUGGGAACACGCUCUGGUUUCUGCAGAGGAGAUAAGCAAGUCCUGGGGAGAACAUGGACGUUUGGCAGCCAGCGAGAAAGAAAGGAGGGGAAGGCCUGGAGAUUGGGGUGACAGCCCUUAUUGGUGUCACUGAAACGUGUGUGGUUAAUCUCAGUCCUUGGGAUCCACAUAAAACCACGUGAAUGUGCUUCUCAUCUAAUAAAUUAUAUAUGAAGGAUGCUGAAAGCAGGGCCUUGGAGAGAGAUGUGUGUACCCGUGUUCACAGUUCACAGCAGCAUUCCUCCAGUUACCAAGAGGUGGAAGCAACCCAAAGUCCAUCGAUGGAAAAAUGGUAAGCAGAUAUAGUAUGAAUAGAUACAGACAGUGGGAUAUUAUUCUGCUUUAGAAAGGAAGGAAAUUCUGAUACAUACCACCGCAUGGAUGCACCUUGAGGACAUUAUGCUGAGUGAAAUGAGCCAGUCACAAAAGACAAAUAUUGCAUGAUUCUAUGUAUGUGAGGUCCCUAGAGUAGUAAUAGAGACAGAAAGUGCAAUGGUGGUGGCCAGUGAUUUCAAGGAGAGCGGAAAGGAGAGUUACUGUUUAAUGGGUGCAGAGUUUCCAUUUUAAAUGACAAAAAGUUCUAGAGAUAUGUGGCACAACAGUGUGAAUUGCUCA